GCCGGCGUAGCUCAGCAGGUAGUUUAACAGCCUACAGACCCGUUGGUCGGAAGUUCGAGUCUUCCCGCCGGCG
rnacentral:tRNA from 1 species